GGAUGUGAGUGUGAUCUGCCUGUGACAUCUGUCAUGCCACCGAUUGCCAGGUUUGAUUGAGCCGAUCUGGCUGGCUCCAGGGGUGUCACCUUCCUCCUUCACCAUUCCAUGUGCACCCCUCUCACAGCUGUGUGCUUGGUCAAAGAAGUCCUUCCCCCAAAGGGAGAGCUGUUUCCUCUGUCUAGAGCAUAUUGUAUGAGUAGCUGUGCUCUCCUGCUAGAAACUUCAAAUAAGCUCUCAAAAGACCCAGAUUCCUCCCCCCAAAUAAAAGGCCCAAUAAAAAAAUGGUAACUAAAAUGAACAGAUAUUUCUCACAAGAAGAAGUACAAAUGGCCAAUAAAUACAUGAAAAAAUGUUUAACAU
rfam:Heterocephalus glaber contig27714, whole genome shotgun sequence.